rnacentral:lncRNA from 1 species
UUUUCUUUGUAGAAGGACUGGGUGCAUCAGUGUUAAUUCUUUGAGAGUCUUGUUCAAUUCUGUUUGGGUGUCCCUCAGGAUAAAGUGGUUCCUAAGUCAUUUUACCUCCUCUAGUUGCUACUCUAACAACAAAGUCACUUAUAUUAUUGUUCAUUUCAUCAAGUAACUCUCUUUGAGAUUUAGCAACUUGUUCUAAUUGAGUUUGAACCAUAGAGGCAUGCUUUCCUACACCUCUAACAUCAUUUGAGAUUCUAACUAACAAGUCAUUUAAGCGGGCAAUCAAAUCAGAGCUGUAUUUCAAUUGUUUCAUAACAUUUGCAUUGAAGUGAUCUUGCUUUCUAAUGUAAUUAUCAAACUCAUAAAGGCAUUGACUAGGAUUUUUAUUACGAG